AAGUCGUAACAAGGUUUCCGUAGGUGAACCUGCGGAAGGAUCAUUAACAAAACUGGAGGUGAUAGGGGAUAGUUGCUGUUAGUUUUAGUUUAGUUUAGUUUAAUUUAGUUUAAUUUAGUUAAGCUAAGCUAAGCUAAGCUAAGUUAAUUGUGACUAUUGCUGAAGCCCAAAACCUUUGUGAAUAGGGUAUAUCUAGAGAUAAAGUCGAAAGAUAAUGUCUGAGUUAUACUUAGAAGGGAACUGAGGGGUGAUGUUGACUUGUUUUGAAAAGAUCGUAAGAUGUGAGUAAUGAUAAGUUCAAUAUCCAAAAAAUCUUGUAGUCUAAUUUUUGUUGUCGAAAGACAUUCAAUAUAAUACAACUUUUAACAAUGGAUCUCUUGGCUCUU
rnacentral:misc_RNA from 1 species